CGGUCGGCGGCGGUUUAGAACCGUGGAAGAAGACGCGGACAUCAGGCCUGCUGUCCGUGAUCGCGAACGCUGCGUCCAUGUAAUCGCAGCCCACCAGUUCUGGCCACGGCGUCUUCUCGUCUUCACGCGGCCCGGCAACCUUUCCUCCUUCCAUCCUUCGUACUUUUGAUCGAGCCCCACAACACGAAAUUAAGGAGAAGCGGCAAACACGAGCAGAUCUUCCUUCUUUUUUCUGCAAAAAAGAAGAAGAAGAGAAAUACGCAGAUCGACCGGCACUUUUCUUGGCUGCCUUUCGAUCCCUGCUCAUAUAUUUAUGUUGCUCGCACGCGAGUUCGACUCGGACUCAACACAGAUGCAACCCGACCUGAACGUUGCACUCCUAUUCUAGUCGGAUUGGGCGCUGUAUUUGCCAUUGGCCGGUAAAGAAUUUAGAUGCCAGCCAUAUGAGUGUAGAUCAAUUGUCUCGGAACUAUGAAAAUGCGCUGCAUGGUGGCACUACUCUUGUCCAUUGCAAGGCUGGAAGAGCUCGAAGCACUACCAUGGUUGUGUGCUAUUUGGCUGUUGAAGGUUUUAGAACUAACAUUUCAGUUGAGACAUCAAGUGUGCUAAAUUCUGGUCAAGAAUUCAUCACAGGUUCAGAUGUUGAGGGGCCUAGGAAGUAUGAUGUUGAUGUCCCUCAGUGGAGUUGGUUUUAAUCCGUCACAAGCCUAUCAUUUCGAUGACAUCUACCGGAUGAUUGAGGACUACCAACAACUUCGUACUCCCUUCGCGUAUUAAAUCGGUACCAAUUAAUAUGAAAUGGAGGGAGUACCAUUUUGCUUGGCUUACCUGGUAGAUAAAUUCACAUGCUUAUUUUUCCAAUCGUGGAUCAGUAGGGUGUGAAUAAUCAGCAUUAGUAUUUCCCAGCCUGCCGAACGCCCCUGGGGAGAAGAGAGAUUAAAGUUCGCCUAAAUGAUUGCCAAUCACCAUGACUUGUUAACACAGUUCUAAACUUGUAAUGUCAAAUGUCUGCUGCACGUUCGCCAUUCUGCUUUGU